UGCAUACCCCUCACGGGGGAAUUCGGUGAUCCUAUGCUGCCAAGAAAAGCAUCGACGCGAGGUUCAAGCCGCCCGUACCCCAAACCGACUCAGGUGGUCAGGUAGAGAAUACCAAGGAGAUCGAGAGAAUCGUGGUUAAGGAACUCGGCAAAAUGCCCCCGUAACUUCGGGAGAAGGGGGGCCUGAGGCGUGUAGGUACUUGCUACCGAAGCGUUUGAAGGCCGCAGAGACCAGUGGGAAGCGACUGUUUACUAAAAACACAGGUCCGUGCUAAGUCGCAAGACGAUGUAUACGGACUGACGCCUGCCCGGUGCUGGUAGGUUAAGUGGAGCGGUUAGAGCAAUCGAAGCUGCGAAAUGAAGCCCCAGUAAACGGCGGUGGUAACUAUAACCAUCCUAAGGUAGCGAAAUUCCUUGUCGGGUAAGUUCCGACCUGCACGAAUGGCGUAACGACUUCCCAGCUGUCUCAACCGCGAACUCGGCGAAAUUGCACUACGAGUAAAGAUGCUCGUUACGCGCAGAAGGACGGAAAGACCCCGUGACCUUUACUAUAGCUUUGUAUUGGUGUUCGGUGCGGCUUGUGUAGGAUAGGUGGGAGACUGUGAAGCUUGGACGCUAGUUCAGGUGGAGUCAAUGUUGAAAUACCACUCUGGUCGCUCUGGAUAUCUAACGACGAACCGUAAUCCGGUUCUCGGACAGUGCAUGGUGGGUAGUUUAACUGGGGCGGUUGCCUCCUAAAGAGUAACGGAGGCGCCCAAAGGUUCCCUCAACCUGGUUGGUAAUCAGGUGGCGAGUGUAAGUGCACAAGGGAGCUUGACUGUGAGACUGACAGGUCCAGCAGGGACGAAAGUCAGGACUAGUGAUCCGGCAGUGGCUUGUGGAAGCGCUGUCGCUCAACGGAUAAAAGGUACCUCGGGGAUAACAGCUGAUCUUGCCCAAGAGUCCAUAUCGACGGCAUGGUUUGGCACCUCGAUGUCGGCUCGUCGCAUCCUGGGGCUGGAGUAGGUCCCAAGGGUUGGGCUGUUCGCCCAUUAAAGCGGUACGCGAGCUGGGUUUAGAACGUCGUGAGACAGUUCGGUCCCUAUCCUCUGUGCGCGCAGGAAAUUUGAGAAGAGCUAUCCUUAGUACGAGAGGACCGGGAUGGUCGAACCUCUGGUGUGUCAGUUGUUCCGCCAGGAGCACCGCUGAUUAGCUACGUUCGGAACGGAUAACCGCUGAAAGCAUCUAAGCGGGAAGCCGGCUUCAAGAUGAGAUUUCCACGCCUUCGGGCGAGAGGCCCCCAGCUAGACGACUGGGUUGAUAGGCGGGAUGUGGAAGCCAGGACUAAAGACUGGUGCAGCUGACCCGUACUAAUAGGCCGAUAGAUUG
rnacentral:rRNA from 1 species